rnacentral:rRNA from 1 species
GUAGGGUGCGAGCGUUAAUCGGAAUUACUGGGCGUAAAGCGUGCGUAGGCGGUUCGUUAAGUUCGUCGUGAAAGCCCCGGGCUCAACCUGGGAAUGGCGAUGGAAACUGGCGGGCUGGAGUCUGGCAGAGGGGGGUGGAAUUCCGCGUGUAGCAGUGAAAUGCGUAGAGAUGCGGAGGAACACCGAUGGCGAAGGCAGCCCCCUGGGCCAAGACUGACGCUCAGGCACGAAAGCGUGGGGAGCAAACAGGAUUAGAUACCCUGGUAGUCCACGCCCUAAACGAUGCUCACUAGGUGUUGGGGAAGCGAUUCCUUGGUACCGUAGCUAACGCGUGAAGUGAGCCGCCUGGGGAGUACGGCCGCAAGGUUA